GAUAAACGCUGGCGGCGUGCUUCAGGCAUGCAAGUCAAACGGACCUUCGGGUCAGUGGCGGACGGGUGAGUAACACGUAAGUAACCUGCCCAGAAGUGGGGAAUAACUAGCCGAAAGGAUGGCUAAUACCGCAUGUGAUGGCCUGUCCCUGGAUGGGUCAUUCAAGGAUUUAUUCGCUUCUGGAGGGGCUUGCGGUCGAUUAGCUUGUUGGUGGGGUAAUGGCCUACCAAGGCGACGAUCGAUAGCUGGUCUGAGAGGACGGUCAGCCACACGGGGACUGAGAUACGGCCCCGACUCCUACGGGAGGCAGCAGCUAGGAAUCUUGGGAAUGGGCGAAAGCCUGACCCAGCAACGCCGCGUGGGCGAUGAAGGCCUUCGGGUCGUAAAGCCCUUUUGUAGGGGACGAUAAUGACGGUACCCUGCGAAUAAGCCACGGCUAACUACGUGCCAGCCGCCGCCGUAA
rnacentral:rRNA from 1 species